AGCACCAAAAGCAAAAGCAAACAUUCAUAUGUAGUUACUUUUUUCUGUAGAAUUGUUACCAAAAUCACUACGGCUUGUAUGAACUCGGCUUUGGCUUAGCAUUUGUAAACAUAAACUGUUGUAUGAGGAAAAAUGCAAUUAUUGGGGUAUUAAUCUGGAACUCGAUUCAAACUUUGAAUGGCUACGAAUGAAUACGACGCGAGAAGCGUUCUUUUUUCACAAUCAGCCACCUUACAUACAAAUCAACAAAUCUUUGGAAGACCCCACAGAUACGCUCUACCAACAUCUGAGCGACGUACAUUCGAUUUUUAUGAAAAAUGAAUACCUUCAACAAGGUUUUAAGCACCAAGUGUUGGUUCCACACACUAAAGAGGAGUUCUUGAAUUUGAAUAAAACGGAUCAUCUCGUAAGCCGACGUUGUCCGUUCCCUGGAGCGAUAAGGACAUCAGAAAAUGUUGCGUGGGAAGAACUUGUAACUGAUUAGUGCUCAGAAAAAAAUAUAGCGGUCGCUCGGCAGGCAAUGGCAAACCUCCGAAUGUAUUUCUGCUAUGAAAAAGCUCCUCAUGAAAAUAUCUGCCGUUCGGAGUCGGCUUGAAACUGUAGGUCCCUCCAUUUGUGGAACAACAUCAAGACGCACACCACAAAUAGGAGGAGGAGCUCGGCCAAACACCCAAAAAGGGUGUACGCGCCAAUUAUAUAUAUAUUCCAUUUACAUCCACAAAUCAAAAAAACAAAAAAAAAAAAAAACGGCCCUGGAGCAGUAUAUGGAUGAGAAAAAGAGGUCCGGUGGUCAAUUGUUUAAAAUGCUGGAAGAAAACAUGAAAAAAUGAGAAAGAUGAACGGAAAUCACAGAUAGAAAGCGAGAAAGUCGAUAUUUUGAAAUUGUUGCUCGGUUUCCUCAAAAAGUAAAUAUAUGUAUGUAUGUACAAAUGUAUUUGAAGUGAUAUGAAAAUGCGGGACUGAGAAUUAAUUAAUUUUAAUUUCCUUUUUUAAUUCAUAUUGUAUGUAUGUUACCCACGAUAA